rnacentral:rRNA from 1 species
GAUGAACGCUAGCGGCAGGCUUAACACAUGCAAGUCGAGGGGUAUAGUAGCAAUACUAGAGACCGGCGCACGGGUGCGUAACGCGUAUGCAAUCUACCUUUUGCAGAGAGAUAGCCCAGAGAAAUUUGGAUUAAUACCUCAUAGUAUAAUUGAAUGGCAUCAUUUAAUUAUUAAAGUCACAACGGCAAAAGAUGAGCAUGCGUCCCAUUAGUUAGUUGGUAAGGUAACGGCUUACCAAGACAACGAUGGGUAGGGGUCCUGAGAGGGAGAUCCCCCACACUGGUACUGAGACACGGACCAGACUCCUACGGGAGGCAGCAGUGAGGAAUACUGGACAAUGGGCGCAAGCCUGAUCCAGCCAUGCCGCGUGCAGGAAGACGGUCCUAUGGAUUGUAAACUGCUUUUGCACAGGAAGAAACAUCCCGACGUGUCGGGACUUGACGGUACUGUGAGAAUAAGGAUCGGCUAACUCCGUGCCAGCAGCCGCGGUAAUACGGAGGAUCCAAGCGUUAUCCGGAAUCAUUGGGUUUAAAGGGUCCGUAGGCGGCUUUAUAAGUCAGUGGUGAAAUCUCCCCGCUCAACGGGGAAACGGCCAUUGAUACUGUAAGGCUUGAAUUAUUAGGAAGUAACUAGAAUAUGUAGUGUAGCGGUGAAAUGCUUAGAGAUUACAUGGAAUACCAAUUGCGAAGGCAGGUUACUACUAAUGGAUUGACGCUGAUGGACGAAAGCGUGGGUAGCGAACAGGAUUAGAUACCCUGGUAGUCCACGCCGUAAACGAUGGAUACUAGCUGUUGGGAGCAAUCUCAGUGGCUAAGCGAAAGUGAUAAGUAUCCCACCUGGGAAGUACGUUCGCAAGAAUGAAACUCAAAGGAAUUGACGGGGGCCCGCACAAGCGGUGGA